rnacentral:rRNA from 1 species
GGACGAACGCUGGCGGCGUGCUUAACACAUGCAAGUCGAGCGGUAAGGCCCUUUCGGGGGUACACGAGCGGCGAACGGGUGAGUAACACGUGGGUGACCUGCCCUUAGCUCUGGGAUAAGCCUGGGAAACUGGGUCUAAUACCGGAUAUGACUCCAUGACGCAUGUUGUGGGGUGGAAAGCCUUGUGCGGCUAGGGGAUGGGCCCGCGGCCUAUCAGCUUGUUGGUGGGGUGAUGGCCUACCAAGGCGACGACGGGUAGCCGGCCUGAGA